AGCAGCCGCGGUAAUUCCAGCUCCAAUAGCGUAUAUUAAAGUUGUUGCAGUUAAAAAGCUCGUAGUUGAAUUUCGGGGUCAGUAGGUUGGUCGUGCCACUGGUAUGUACUGGCUUCACUGAUUCCUCCCUCUUGUAGAACCGUAAUGCCAUUAAUUUGGUGUUGCGGGGUAAACAGGACUGUUACUUUGAAAAAAUUAGAGUGUUUAAAGCAGGCUAACGCUUGAAUACAUUAGCAUGGAAUAAUGAAAUAGGACGUUUGAUCCUAUUUUGUUGGUUUCUAGGAUUGACGUAAUGAUUAAUAGGGAUAGUUGGGGGCAUUAGUAUUCAAUUGUCAGAGGUGAAAUUCUUGGAUUUAUUGAAGACUAACUACUGCGAAAGCAAUUUGCCAAGGAUGUUUUCAUUAAUCAAGAACGAAAGUUAGGGGAUCGAAGACGAUCAGAUACCGUCGUAGUCUUAACCAUAAACCUAUGCCGACUAGGGAUCGGAUGAUGUUAAUUUUUAAUGUACUCAUUCGGCGCC
rnacentral:rRNA from 1 species